rnacentral:tRNA from 1 species
GGAGUGAUGUCCGAGUUGGUCGAAGGAGCACGACUGGAAAUCGUGUAGGCGGGUUAAAUCCGUCUCGUGGGUUCGAAUCCCACUCACUCCG